GAGAACGAUGCAUCUGAAUCUCAAACAAAUCUGAAGCUUCAACCCUGUAAUCUGUUUAAGCAUGGAAAGGAAGGGUAUAUGGAGGCUGGCCCUCAUCCUACUCCUUGGCCAGCUUGUCUCUUUCUUCCUUGCAGUAGCUAGCUUCACUUCUUCUCUGAUAGCAGAUCUCGGAACUGAUACACCAUUAACACAGUCAUGGUUUACUUACCUUUCUUUGUCUCUCGUGUAUGGUGCUGUUUUCUUCUUCAGGGGGGCAGAGACCUUGUGGUUCCUUGGUACUGGUACCUUGCCUUGGCCAUUGUUGACGUCGAAGGCAACUACUUAAUAGUCAAAGCCUAUCAGUAUUCUUCAAUUACAAGUGUGACAUUGCUGGAUUGCUGGACUAUUCCAUGGGUCAUAAUCCUCACUUGGUUUGUCCUAGGGACAAGGUAUUCUCCAUGUCAAUUUGUGGGUGUUGCAGUGUGUGUGUUAGGCCUUGGCUUGGUGCUUCUUUCCGACGCGCACAUAUCUGGUGGUAGAUAUGGAAGUAAACCUAUCAUUGGCGAUGCACUUGUGAUUGCUGGGACAUUUUGCUAUGCAUUCAGCAAUGUUGGUGAGGAAUUCUGUGUUAAGAGGAAAGAUCAAGUUGAAGUGCUUGCAAUGCUUGGGAUACUUGGGGUGCUAGUUAGUACUUGUGAGAUAUCUAUUUUUGAGAGGAAAGGUCUUGAAUCAGUAAAGUGGUCUGCCACAAUGAUAUGUUUGUUUGGUGGAUUUGCAGCUGCAACAUUUCUGUUCUACACUGUUGUUCCUUUUGUGUUGCAGAUGAGUGGAGCAACCUUGUUCAAUCUAUCUCUUCUCACAUCCGAUAUGCGGGCUGUGCAUCUUCUUAUACCAUGAUAAAUUUGGUGGCUAUUGGCUUGAUCAUUUACUCAGUGAAGUAAGUUUGCAUUUCAGCAAUGGUAAUUCUACAUUUUCAUCAAACUUUCUCCUGAUGUGUAAAUCUCAAUUCCAUUUUUCAAUUCAGUCAAUUCAGGACUGAAUUGACUGCCUGAGCAUUGUUCAGCUACAAAUAUGAAGCCUAAAUGAGAUGCAGAUGAUGUUCUAAGGACUGAUUAGUGUAAUUGAUGACAUGAUUGAGAAUUCAUUUAAAGUGUGUAUUUCAGUUUGCUCCAUGUUUUAGUAAAUCCAAGAAGAUAAGUACUGAUGCGGUAAUGAUGAAGGAUAGUGAAAGUCAAAGGAGGUUAAAGUCAAGGUGGUCAAUACAUAUAUGACAUCGAUCGGUCGGACGAAAUAUGCCUCGACUAAGGAGAAGGUAUUAUAUCAGGGACACUUUACUGACAAAUCUUUUCAGUAAAAACUUCGAGAAAUGUGCACGCGCGCUACCGGAGCUCUAUAUAAAAAGGGAUCCAAACAUCGGCGGAGGUCCGCGCGGAGUCCUUAGGAGGUCAGCGUGAGCGCCACAUGUCUAUCUUUCCGUUUCUUCGACUUUCGGACAUGAUCAAGUACGUUGCACAUAGUUCCUUCGAUCGAUGGGAAUAAUAGUCGCAAAUUAAGUUACAAAUCGACUUGUACCAUAUUGACUUAAGAUUCAAAAUAUUUUUUAGAGUCGCAAACUCGUAUUAAACUAAAAAAUCCAAAUCUCUGCAAGUUAGAUUUGGAAAAUUUUGUUCCUUAGAACUACAUUUUGUUGAAAUAAAAUAGUCAAAUCCGCUUGUAACUGAAAUUUAAAAAUUUAUAAAAUUAUUUAGGGUUUGAGGCUUCAACGC